ensembl:lncRNA
GUCGAUUUCACUGAGUGUUGUAAGUGUUAAUUAAACUCUGGUGCUCUAUUUUUGUUAGCAGUUCAUCUGAGGACAGACAGGUGUCGAAGAGGAAGAGGAAGAGUAGCAGAAAUGAUACCCCGCCCCUCACAAAGAGCCGAAAGAAACGCAGUGCAUCAUCCAGCUCCGCUCACAGGUAUUGAGGCCAAAUGCCAUCGGCCAUAAAAGGUUGGAUUGUCAUGUGAUUGUACGUCAGAUUAUCUGAUAGUGCUGCACGGCGUAAUCAAAGAAAGAUCUGGUGUCAGUUCUCCCAGCAUAAGAGUUUUACUUUGCUUUGUCUUCAGUGACUCUCCUGCUCCACCCAAGGAGAGGCAACAGAAUCGGCCAGUGACUAGGCCAGAGGAGAGCCGGAAGGGCAGGUCACCAGGUCGCAGGGGUCAUGGCCGACACGACGAGAGCCCAGACAGGAGGGAAGGUAGAGAGAGGUCUCCGAGACAUUCCAGGUCCCUUGAACGAAAUAAGCGAGACAGGGAGAAGGAAAGGGAGAGAGAAAAAGAAAAAGCCGCGAGAGGACGGCAUGACUCCUUGUCUCCGUCUCCACCCCCGAAACAGCAGAGGGACAGGAGGCCACGGAGCGAGGAGCAAGAGAAGGCACCUCCCAGGAGAAGGCAUGACUCCUCCUCUCACUCUCCUUCUCCCAGACAGCAGAAGGAAGGGAAGCAGAGGAGCACAGAGAAGGAGCGUGAGGAGGAGAGGAGGAAGACGGACCGGCAGCAAAGACGACACGACUCCUCAUCAUCGCCGUCACCACAGAAAGACAGAGCUUGGAGAGGACGGAGCAGCGAGAAGGAGAAAAGGCCUUCACCGACCGCACAUUUGGACAGGGCCAGGGACGGAGGGCGAGACAGGGACAGGCAGAGGGACAGGGGAGGGGUCCCCACUAGUCGGAAAGACGACCGGGGAAGAGGGAGUGAUAAAGUCAGGGAGAGGGAAGGAGCCGGAACUAGUGACUCUGCGUCCCCCGCACGGUGCUCGCCGCCCUCAAGGCCCAAGCAGAAAGAAACAGAGCGCAACAGGGACCGAGAGGAGCAGAGGGAGAGGGAGGAGGCACGCCGACGAGAGGACAAGAGGAGGAAAGAACGAGACUCGGGGAGGGAAGAGGCGUCUGGCUCGGGCAGGCAGCCUUCAAACGGGAAGCACUCGGAGGAGAGACCGUUGGGGAGGGACGGAGAAAUAGACAGGAGGACCGAGCGUGACAAGGUCCCAGUGGAGAGAAACGACAAGGGGGUGAGGGAUGGGGAGGAGAGGCUGGGAAGAGCGCGGGACCAGAGCCUGCAGGAGG